rnacentral:rRNA from 1 species
AGUGGGGAAUAUUGCACAAUGGGGGAAACCCUGAUGCAGCCAUGCCGCGUGUGUGAAGAAGGCCCUAGGGUUGUAAAGCACUUUCAGUAGGGAGGAAAGGGUAGUGAUUAAUACUCACUAUCUGUGACGUUACCUACAGAAGAAGCACCGGCUAACUUCGUGCCAGCAGCCGCGGUAAUACGAGGGGUGCAAGCGUUAAUCGGAAUUACUGGGCGUAAAGCGUGCGUAGGCGGUUUGUUAAGCAAGAUGUGAAAGCCCAGGGCUCAACCUUGGAACUGCAUUUUGAACUGGCAAACUAGAGUACUGUAGAGGGUGGUGGAAUUUCCAGUGUAGCGGUGAAAUGCGUAGAGAUUGGAAGGAACAUCAGUGGCGAAGGCGGCCACCUGGACAGAUACUGACGCUGAGGCACGAAAGCGUGGGGAGCAAA